rnacentral:lncRNA from 1 species
CGCAUCGAAAUCAUGGUCUAUAUUGUAGCCCGAAUUACGGGGCAUUACAUAUACUCUAUAGAACUCAGUCAGUUAUGUAACUCAUGAAACAUCAGAAAUCUCAUGAUCUCAGUUAACUCUCAGAUAAUAGUACUACUUCGUCAGUCAACAGAUGUUAGUUAUUCAGUCCAUGUACAGCCAGUUGAAUCAUGUUCAGUCCCUUUAGAUGGGAGUAGAAGUUAGCACUGAAUGAACCCAAGGAUGGGAGCUCACCUGCCAGUUCAAGGUGUGAUUCUUAGCAGUCAUCCUUGUGUUCCAGAACUACGUAGCCACCGUAGGUUGAGACGUCUUAACCUGUCAGAUUAGGGUUGAUGGGGUGACUUAACCUGUCAGUUUAAGGUCCCACCGUUCUUACUUUGAGUACCUGCCAGAUAAAGGUCACUCACAACUAUCCUUACCAGUGGCACAGUAUUGACACCCCUCCAG